GGGUCCUCACUUUCCAGGGAUGGCGGGGCGGAGGGGAGGCAGUUUCAGAUACGCCAGUCCUCUAAAAGAUUAGUUCUUAACCCCCUCUUCCCUUAGCGCCUCUCUGGGCUGGAAGCCAGCAGUCUGUAUAGUAUGAAAUGUAUUAAGGAGUUGGGAGACAUCAGGAAGGGCUUUCCGCCUAUGUUGAGUAACUGUGUGCUAGGUGCUGACACUGGGAUUGGGAUGGCUUAGAGAAAAAGCAGUUAGGUUUGUGCAUUCAGAGAACUUACCUUUCGGUGCAGCAGAAGACAGGGGAUUAGUAGAAUGUGAAAGAAACGAGACUGGCGCCCGCCACGGAUCACAUAUUACGAAGAGAGUGGACCCUUCUUCCCCUCCUUGUCCGCCCCUAGGUGCAGCCUUUCCUUUAAUUCCAUCCCACUUCUCAAGUUGUUUUUGCAGCUUUAGAACUGUUGACUGAGCAUCCUAAACUGCGUGGUUUGUCCCCCACCCUUCCAAAUAUGUGAUUUCGGUGUAAGCCCCGCCCCGCACACCACCGCCUUUCUUUAUAACAGCUUGUGCUGGUCUUU
rnacentral:lncRNA from 1 species